rnacentral:SRP_RNA from 2 species
GCUGGGUGUGGUGGCUCAUACCUGUAAUCCCAGCUACUUGGGAGGCUGAGGCAGGAGGAUUGCUUGAGCCCAGGAGUUGGAGUCCAGCCUGGGCAACAUGGUGAGACCCUAUCUCUA